CAGGCCCCUGCUAAGCCCUUCUCGACAGGGCCUCUUUGCAUCCUCAGGACAGGCCUGUGGGGCGAAACGAUGAUCCUCCAAUACCGGACUGCACAGAGCACAGGCUGGAACGUGACUGAUCCUAAUUUGGCCUCUCCACCUGCUUCUACAUCCUACUUUGCUGCUACAAGCCAGUAAAGCUGGGACAUCCUGAACCUCUCUGUUUCCCCGUCUAAAACACACCCAAACCCUUAUGGCGGGAAGGUCGGCUCACUGGUUAGGCACCUGCAGAUCCUUGGUCAGGCAGUUUCCCAGCAAGAACCCUGGGGCAUGGGUGACCACUCCGGGGUGGGAGGCGGUGGGUGUGGUAGGGUCCCACUCCCAGCCAGAGCCCAUCCUAGUGCCAUCGGAGCACCCCAAGGCCUCGGUACAUUAAGAGGAAGCUACGGGCAGGUCUGUGGUCCAGGACUGGGCCACGCUGGGCACAGGAGCCCAACAGGAGAAAUGCUCACCUGGGUAGUCCUGAGCAGGCUCUCUGGACCCUCAGAGAUCAAGAGGCCACUGGGGCAGUCAGAGCCACCUGGAGCCUGGAAGAGGUCCCACGGCACCCUCCAAACCAAUUACUCCCAACCUGAGGCCCCACAGCCCCAGGGGCCACGAAGGUGUCCUGGGUCCGAACACCGUGCAAAGCCACGUGGAGACCCCCGUGCGGGGCUGCAGGAAACCCCGCCAACCUCUGCUUCUGCCUGGACCAGCUCUGCACAGCCGGCACGCACGUCUGGGACCAAUAAGCAGAAGAGAUUAUUACUUAAUAAACGUGGUUUCCUUGAGAGGAUAA